AAAAAUAAAAAAUAAAAAAUAGGCUGGCAAGCCCGCCAUCUGCCAACCCGCCAUCUAGACGGGGCAAACUAGAUUUUUAAGCCCAAUUUCACUUAGCAUAUUUGUCCGUCCUGCCCCUUUUUGGCAUGCUUAAGACCAUGGCGGGGCAAACAACCCGUUUUGUCACCCAUACUUGUACCUCCGUUGAGAAACACCAUUAUCUCGUCAUGGACACUUCAACAGAACACACC
rnacentral:lncRNA from 1 species